UUCCGUGUCCCUCUGAGGCUGCGGUCACUGUCAUGGAGGGGCUGGGCCCUGUUGGGAGCAGUGUUUGCAUGGGGUGGGCAGUGUGCAGCCUCCGGGGAAGGGGGUGCUUCUGUGGGGUGUGGAGUGGAUUGGGAGUGUAAGGCAACUACAGGGACAGAAAAUAAAAGCAGAACACAGACUCCUAGGAAUCCAUAAAUAUGCAGCUGGGGUGUCCUCCCCGUAGGCCGGCCAGUGAGGCGCUCCUCAGUCAGCAAGGAAGCUCUUCACAGGGAAGGUCAGGAGAGCACGGCACUUAAGUGGAUUGAUGUGAGAUUAUCUCAAGAGCACUAGAGGAGGGCGAGCAGGGUACUGGACACUAUUAGAUUUUUUUCAUUUUUAAUAAUGUUCCUUUUAAUUUGUGAAGUCAAUACUGUCUUUUCUCCCUGCUGGGAGAGGCUGUGCUGUGGUGGGGCCAACUCGGGGUCCUCUCCUUGUGGGGGGUCCCAGCCUCUUCCAUCCCAUUCAGUGGCCUCGGGCAAACUGAUAAUGAGCCCACCCACCGUCUAGAAGAUCAAGUCAAAUCCCAAAUAUUUGUGAGCAGCUUUGAAGUGCCUGGCAGUAGUGCUGGAGCUGUGAACACAACAGCCGAGUCCUUGCCCUUGUGGGGCUCCCAUUCCAGCUCAGACACGGACAAGAGAUGAAUAAGCAGAACCGUGAGGGCGGCACUCUGCUGGGGCCAGGCAGAGAGCAGGCAUUCGGCAGGUGUCUGGAGGCCGAAGAAACCUCUUUAUUUUGACAUGAAGGUUCUCUGUGGCCUGCAGAGUGUUGCUCCAAGUCGUCUGCACCCAACAGUCUCUGGCGACCCCUGUGAUUUAUCCAGUCCCUCAGAAGUCAUCUGGAACAUUCACACCACUCUGCAUUACUCAUCAAAAACCAACCCUCAGACACAGGCAAGCCAGGAGUUAGGACAUCCUGAUGUUGGGGUGAUGGAGGCUGAGAUUCAGCGGCCAAGCAGGCCGCUCAGUUGUACAAUUUGUAUGUGGGGACGAGGGGUUCUAAGGAUUACAAGUGCCGUCCCUCCCUGAGGUUUCCAUUUGUAAAGUGCGCUGAUGUGUGUCCAUGGGCCUCAGGUUCCUUUCUUAGGAGGCCCCAGCGGGCAUCCAGUUGUUCACAGAAUGGAGGUUCCUGGACCCCGUACAAGGCACGGGAGCCUGAUGAGCCACCACUGUGAGAGCACAUGGGGGUCUGAUUUAAUUGCUAUUCGAGUGGAUCCCAUAUGAUGGAUGUAUAUGGCAGGCUCGUGAGCACUCCUGGGCUCACUUUUGCCUAAAGGUACUUGCUCAGCACCGUGAUGGUGAUCCCAGGGGACACCUCCAUGGGGGCAUUGGAGGACCCAGAUGUGAGGUCCACAGGCAUGGCUCCCAAUCAGCACACCCAGCCCCUCCCUGACCCUCCCCAGGGGCUCCUGUCCCUAUUGCCUCCUCAGGUAUGACUCUCUUGGACCUACAGGUGCUGAAACAGCCUAAGCCAGAGCAGUGGGUAGGUGGGUUCUGGUUGGUGUCCACUCACGGGAAACCUACUCCUUGAUGUCUCAUCCACUUCCCUAACACUCGUGGCCAUCCAUGGAUGGGCUGAUGGGGACAGUGGGGGCAAGAGGGCGUCCAUUAGGAGUAUACAGAUGGCCCAUGGGGACCUCUGUCAGUGUUUCAAGUUCAGGUUUAUCACUGAGCUGGCCAGGGCCUGUUCUAGGCAUGAGAGAUACUUAAAUGAAUCAUACAGGGCCCAGGGAGCGUGUGGUCUAUUAAAGGAGACCCACGUACAGUCCAUACUGGCUCUUGUCACUGCCCUGCUCUCCUGCCC